GAUGAACGCUGGCGGCGUGCUUAACACAUGCCAGUCGAACGAAGCAUUUAAGACAGAUUACUUCGGUUUGAGGUCUUUUAUGACUGAGUGGCGGACGGGUGAGUAACGCGUGGGUAACCUGCCUCAUACAGGGGGAUAGCAGCUGGAAACGGCUGGUAAUACCGCAUAAGCGCACAGUACCACAUGGUACAGUGUGAAAAACUCCGGUGGUAUGAGAUGGACCCGCGUCUGAUUAGCUUGUUGGCGGGGUAACGGCCCACCAAGGCGACGAUCAGUAGCCGACCUGAGAGGGUGACCGGCCACAUUGGGACUGAGACACGGCCCAGACUCCUACGGGAGGCAGCAGUGGGGAAUAUUGCACAAUGGAGGAAACUCUGAUGCAGCGACGCCGCGUGAGUGAAGAAGUAGUUCGCUAUGUAAAGCUCUAUCAGCAGGGAAGAUAGUGACGGUACCUGACUAAGAAGCUCCGGCUAAAUACGUG
rnacentral:rRNA from 1 species